UUAUGGCCCGUUCGAAGCUGUCCGCAGUACACAUACUGUGUGUCAGUCAUACCGCGGCCGACAUUAUAGUUGUCAUAAGGUCGCGCGCAUGCACCGUGCGUGACGUGCAUUACCCAUGACAACUACAUUU